CUCGGGUCAGGAGUCAUGGUUUAGUGACAUAUUUUGAGUUUAAAAUGAUAUUUUUCUCCCUCUUUAAAUGUCAUAAUACAAAGCAAAGUAUUAUCAAAUUGUAUUCGUCACAUGCGCCGAAUACAACAACCUUACAGUGAGCCCCUAACCAACUUAUUUAUGAGCCCUUAACCAGCAAUGCAGUUAAAAAAAAAUAUGGUUAAGAAUAAGGGAUAAAAGUAACAAGUAAUUAAAGAGCAGCAGUAAAAUAACAAUAGCGAGACUAUAUACAGGAGGGUACCGAUACAGAGUCAAUGUGCGGGGGCACCUCUUAGUUGAGGUAGUAUAUACAUGUAGGUAGAGUUAUUAAAGUGACUAUGCAUAGAUGACAACAGAGAGUAGCAGUGGUAGCCAUUUGACUAGAUGUUCAGGAGUCUUAUGGCUUGGGGGUAGAAGCUGUUUAGAAGCCUCUUGGACCUAGACUUGGCGCUCCGGUACCACUUGCCGUGCGGUAGUAGAGAAAACAGUCUAUGACUAGGGUGGCUGGAGUCUUUGACAAUUUUUAGGGCCUUCCUCUGACACCGCCUGGUAUAGAGGUCCUGGAUGGCAGGAAGCUUGGCCCCAGUGAUGUACUGAGCCGUUCGCACUACCCUCUUUAGUGCCUUGCUGUCAGAGGCUGAGCAGUUGCCAUACCAGGCAGUGAUGCAACCUGUCAGGAUAGUAAUUUAGUUGUCUACUUCGUUAUUUAGUGGACUACUUAAAAAACUAAAAUAUCAAAUAAAUAUUACAAAUCAUUUACGGUUGAUAGCUGUCUCUCAAUUUCAUGUCACAGGUGUUAAAAUGUAUAAAAACCACCACUUUUAAAAAAUGCAAUAUCCUUGCCAAAUUCUUCCUGGGUCAAAGGUUCAUUGGAGACGGGACUGUUUUGAAAAGUACAUGAUAUGGCGAAAUUAGGUGCUGCUGAAAAGCAAAGACUCUACAGACAGCGCAGGGAUGCUGACCCACACCGCAGAGCAGCCUACCUUAAACAAAAACCCCAGACUUAAAGGAUUUAGAGAUUCAAAAAAGAAAGAGUAAGGAUCUCUCAGAAAGGGAAAAAAGACAGGAGCGAAGGAAAUGGCGGAUCAGACAGGCAAAACAGAGAGAUUGAGAGCAGGAAUGACAGUGUUGACCCUCCCCCAUCCACUCCAAACAGUGAACCCAUGUCUGCAAGGUCAGAAUUAAGACAAUGUGUCUGUUGGAAGACAUAUGUACUCUGUAUCUACAGAGUUACUUAAAGGGAUAGUUCACCCAAAUUACAAAAUGACAUAUUGGUUUUCUU
rnacentral:lncRNA from 8 species